rnacentral:rRNA from 1 species
CAGGCUUAACACAUGCAAGUCGAGGGGUAGCAGGGUAGCAAUACCGCUGACGACCGGCGCACGGGUGAGUAACACGUAUCCAACCUUCCCAUAACUCGGGGAUAGCCUUUCGAAAGAAAGAUUAAUACCCGAUAGUACUUUUUUAGGGCAUCUUAGAAAAGUUAAAGAUUUAUUGGUUAUGGAUGGGGAUGCGUUCCAUUAGAUAGUUGGUGAGGUAACGGCUCACCAAGUCUUCGAUGGAUAGGGGUUCUGAGAGGAAGGUCCCCCACAUUGGUACUGAGACACGGACCAAACUCCUACGGGAGGCAGCAGUGAGGAAUAUUGGUCAAUGGGCGAGAGCCUGAACCAGCCAAGUAGCGUGAAGGAUGACGG